AUUGAACGCUGGCGGCAGGCCUAACACAUGCAAGUCGAACGGUAACAGGAAGCAGCUUGCUGCUUUGCUGACGAGUGGCGGACGGGUGAGUAAUGUCUGGGAAACUGCCCGAUGGAGGGGGAUAACUACUGGAAACGGUAGCUAAUACCGCAUAACGUCGCAAGACCAAAGAGGGGGACCUUAGGGCCUCUUGCCAUCGGAUGUGCCCAGAUGGGAUUAGCUAGUAGGUGGGGUAACGGCUCACCUAGGCGACGAUCCCUAGCUGGUCUGAGAGGAUGACCGGCAACACUGAAAUGGAGCCACGGUCCGGACUCCACGGGAGGGAGGCGUGGGGAAUAAUGGACAAUUGGGGGAAGGCUGGAGGCAGCCAGGCGCGUGGUAUGAGAAGGGCCUCGGGUUGUAAAGUACUUUCAGCGGGGAGGAAGGGAGUAAAGUUAAUACCUUUGCUCAUUGACGUUACCCGCAGAAGAAGCACCGGCUAACUCCGUG
rnacentral:rRNA from 1 species